rnacentral:rRNA from 1 species
UACGGAGGGUGCAAGCGUUAUCCGGAUUCACUGGGUUUAAAGGGUGCGUAGGUGGGUAAGUAAGUCAGUGGUGAAAUCUCCGGGCUUAACCCGGAAACUGCCAUUGAUACUAUUUGUCUUGAAUACUGUGGAGGUCAGCGGAAUAUGUCAUGUAGCGGUGAAAUGCUUAGAUAUGACAUAGAACACCAAUUGCGAAGGCAGCUGGCUACACAAAUAUUGACACUGAGGCACGAAAGCGAGGGGAUCAAACAGG